UUCUUGAAGUAUUGUUAAAUUUUUUUGUUUUGUGUUUAUGUGUUGAUGAAUUAGACAUCAGGUAUGUCCACACUGCAUUGAACGCAGUGCUAUACUGUGCUGUGAGAUAUUGCCGCUUUGUGCAAAUUUUGAAUCAGAAAGGCUGUUUGUUUUUUUUACACCAUAUGAGCAAUUCAUGUUGGCUUAGAGUUAAUUCUCUGUUGAGUGAAUGAAGUUCAGUUUUAUAAAUGUAUCACGUUUAAUUAAUUUUCUCAAUGUUGUGCAAUACAUUUGAAAAGAAUGAAUUUGCACAAUGUGACCGAAAAUGGUGCUUUUAGAGAUUGCUUUUGUUGCAUAUAGUCCUAUUUUCUAUAUAAUCCGUGUAACUCUGUCUGACGAGACUGCCUAAUUUCCUCUGGAUGUCAGGAAGUUGUACUCGCAGGCACACAUUACUCUUAAUUUGGUUAGCACUUUUGUAUAGGACUAUACACGGGAACUGCACAAUAUGGAGACCAGUUUAUUGCCACACCAACUCCAUGUUGCGUGUCCCUUUACUUAUGGUACAGAAAGAUUAAUGGCACAGGUUGCCUCUAGAGGCUGUAUACGUUCGCUGCAUGAUGGAUUCAUGACAAGGCUACCACAGUAGUAUUGUGUAUUGUAACCUUUUUUUUUUUAAGGAAAACUAUUUUUUGUGUGUUUGUUUUUAACAGUAUAGUCAUUGUGUUGUGUGGUGUUAAUGCUUGUGCACUUUGUUACUGUCAUCAAUAAAAAUGUUCAG